GGGGAUGUAGCUCAGCUGGGAGAGCACCUGCUUUGCAAGCAGGGGGUCAGCGGUUCGAGCCCGCUCAUCUCCACCA
rnacentral:tRNA from 1 species